rnacentral:rRNA from 1 species
GGGUUAAGGGUCCGUAGGCGGGCCGAUAAGUCAGGGGUGAAAGUCUGCCGCUCAACGGUAGAACUGCCUUUGAUACUGUCGGUCUUGAGUUAUAGUGAAGUUGCCGGAAUAUGUAGUGUAGCGGUGAAAUGCAUAGAUAUUACAUAGAACACCGAUUGCGAAGGCAGGUGACUAACUAUAUACUGACGCUGAUGGACGAAAGCGUGGGGAGCGAACAGGAUUAGAUACCCUGGUAGUCCACGCCGUAAACGAUGGAUACUAGCUGUCCGGGGCCUUGAGUUCUGGGCGGCCAAGCGAAAGUGAUAAGUAUCCCACCUGGGGAGUACGUUCGCAAGAAUGAAACUCAAAGGAAUUGACGGGGGCCCGCACAAGCGGUGGAGCAUGUGGUUUAAUUCGAUGAUACGCGAGGAACCUUACCAGGGCUUAAAUGCAUAUUGACAGGGUCAGAGAUGACUUUUCCUUCGGGCAAUUUGCAAGGUGCUGCAUGGUUGUCGUCAGCUCGUGCCGUGAGGUGUCAGGUUAAGUCCUAUAACGAGCGCAACCCCUACCGUUAGUUGCCAGCAUGUCAUGAUGGGGACUCUAACGGGACUGCCGGUGCAAACCGUGAGGAAGGUGGGGAUGACGUCAAAUCAUCACGGCCCUUACGUCCUGGGCCACACACGUGCUACAAUGGCAGGUACAGAGAGCAGCCACGUCGCAAGGCGGAGCGAAUCUAUAAAACCUGUCACAGUUCGGAUCGGGGUCUGCAACUCGACCCCGUGAAGCUGGAAUCGCUAGUAAUCGGAUAUCAGCCAUGAUCCGGUGAAUACGUUCCCGGGCCUUGUACACACCGCCCGUCAAGCCAUGGAAGCCGGGAGUGCCUGAAGUCCGUCACCGUAAGGAGCGGCCUAGGGCAAGAUCGGUAACUAGG